GCCCAGGAACACACAGCUGAGUCAGGGAAGGGACCACGUGCAUACUGGCUUUCCUCCACACUGACAGUUCGGCUGGGGCGGGACAACCAUGACAUGGAUUGCUGAGAGGGGCUUCUUGUAGGUCACCUGAACACCCUUGGAUCAACUGGGCAUAAGAGGAAGCCUGUGGUAUAAAAUACCAUGGCCUACAUCUUUCACUGAGCCAACUGCUGGGACAAGCCAGUCCACAGGAAGGAGGGACAUGGGUUUGAUCCCUGGUCGGGGAACUAAGAUCCCAAGUGCCAUGGAGCAACUAAGCCCACACACCACAACUUUCAAGCCCUCAUGCUCUGGAAUCCAUGAGCCACAACUAAACCGUCUGUGUGCCACAGGGAAGAUGCUGUCUGCAGCCACUGAGACCCGACACAGCCAAAUAAACAAUACUGAAAAAAGAACUCACACAGUAAAUGUUAGCCAUUCAAACGUGACCUUUUCCCUGAUACAGUCUAAUACAGC
ensembl:lncRNA